rnacentral:rRNA from 1 species
AUUGAACGCUGGCGGCAGGCCUAACACAUGCAAGUCGAGCGGAUGAAGGGAGCUUGCUCCUGGAUUCAGCGGCGGACGGGUGAGUAAUGCCUAGGAAUCUGCCUGGUAGUGGGGGAUAACGUCCGGAAACGGGCGCUAAUACCGCAUACGUCCUGAGGGAGAAAGUGGGGGAUCUUCGGACCUCACGCUAUCAGAUGAGCCUAGGUCGGAUUAGCUAGUUGGUGGGGUAAAGGCCUACCAAGGCGACGAUCCGUAACUGGUCUGAGAGGAUGAUCAGUCACACUGGAACUGAGACACGGUCCAGACUCCUACGGGAGGCAGCAGUGGGGAAUAUUGGACAAUGGGCGAAAGCCUGAUCCAGCCAUGCCGCGUGUGUGAAGAAGGUCUUCGGAUUGUAAAGCACUUUAAGUUGGGAGGAAGGGCAGUAAGUCAAUACCUUGCUGUUUUGACGUUACCAACAGAAUAAGCACCGGCUAACUUCGUA